rnacentral:tRNA from 1 species
GCGCCUGUAGCUCAUCCGGAUAGAGCGUCAGUUUGCGGAACUGGAGGUAAUAGGUUCAAGUCCUAUCAGGCGCGCCA